rnacentral:rRNA from 1 species
GACGAACGCUGGCGGCGUGCUUAACACAUGCAAGUCGAGCGGUAAGGCCCUUUCGGGGGUACACGAGCGGCGAACGGGUGAGUAACACGUGGGUGACCUCGCCCUCAGCUCUGGGAUAAGCCUGGGAAACCGGGCUAAUACUGGAUAUGACUCCAUGACGCAUGUUGUGGGGUGGAAAGCCUUGUGCGGCUGAGGAUGGGCCCGCGGCCUAUCAGCUUGUUGGUGGGGUGANGGCCCACCAAGGCGACGACGGGUAGCCGGCCUGGAGAGGGCGACCGGCCACAC